AAUAAACCAAUUUUUUAUUUUUUAUCUACAAUUUUUGACUCUUCGUUUUAUUCAAUUUUUUUGUGAUUGAUAUUUUUAUUUUUAUUAGAUGAUAAAUCAUGAAUAGUAUUUUACGUGUGACUAAUUUUUUUUAAUUUUCUAAAAAAAUUUUAAAUAAAACGGAUAAUCAAAUAUUGAACAUAAAAAACCGGAG
rnacentral:pre_miRNA from 1 species